GCCGGGUGCGGUGGCGCACACCCGUGAUCUCAGCUACUCGGGAGGCUAAGGCAGGAGGAUCACAAGCUCAAGGCCAGCUUGGGCAAUUCAGUGAGACCCUGUUUCAA
rnacentral:sRNA from 1 species